rnacentral:lncRNA from 1 species
CUGGAACUUCGUCUGUUACUUCACUCCCUUUAUUCCACAGGCCUCUUCUCUCAUCCUCACCCCAACAGUUUCCUAUUUGUGGUUCUCACUUAGUUUUGGCAGGUGUUCAUAUUUGAUGUAUUUCCUGGAACAUGUUAGUGGUUUCUUUGGAGAAAACCAACAAUUCACCAUUUCUUUUGGUGGGGGAUUUAUUUUCUGGGAGAUCUCACACCACCCUCAUGAGCUUCUGCCCUAGCUUUACAGGUUCGUUCAGCCAGCUUUUGAUUUGAGGAUUCUUCCAGAGAAGGAAAUCAGGAUGAAAUGGGACCAGAGAGAAAGAAAGGUGCUUUCUUGGAGUUGGAACUGGCAGAGCGGGUAUCAGGACAGACUUCACGUAUGCAUGGAGAGAUAUGGAAUCUACAUACGACUGAAAACCUGGACAUAUAUGUCUCAAUUCUAUUUCUCCUUUUUAGGGGCUAGGGGUAGAAGUGACAAAAAGGGUGAUCUCCUCCACAGAAGACCCGCUUCUCUAUUUACACGAUGCACCAUUACCUCUGAAGUAGCCAUCACCGAUCCUGCAUUCUCAGUUAUCCAUAGAUCCAGACACAGAACUUUCCCUUUGUUACAGAAAAUUUUAUUGCAUAGCACCAAUCUGGAGUAUUUUAUGUCCAUCAACAAUAAGCAACUUUUAAGGCUUGGAACAUCAUCCCUAUCCAAG